GCUAGGUAAUGCCAAGUUACUUUUCUGCCUAAGCAGAUACCUGUCUCCCUCCUUCAGGGAAAAGUCAUUAAGUGGUCACUCUUACUUAUGAUGCUGUAAGAUGCAAUCUAGAGAGAGAACCGAGUAAAGCUUCCUGUGGCUUGACAAAGCCUGCAUGUCUAGUACCCCUUAUUAUGGAGAGCACGUCUCUAAUGAGACGAGAUGUGGGAAAGUACGUGGAGUUCAAGAGUCCCCCUGAUGGACAUGCCUGAGUGGCUCAGUCUCUUGAGCAUCAGACUCUUGAUUUCAGCCCAGGUCGUGAUCCCAGGGUCACGAUCCCACAUCAUCAGGCUCUCACUGAACACAGAGCCUGCUUAAGAGUCUCUCUCUCCCUCCCUCUGCCCCUCUUCCCCACUUCUGCUCUCUUUCUCUCUAAAAUUAAAAAAAAAAAAAAUUUAAGUCUCCCUGAUGGGUUAGGAUAGACCCCAUAAGAAGCUUUCUGGGAGAAAGGGACCUCAAAAACCCCAAAGGGGUAACUCACCAUGAAAAAAUGGGCAAUCUGGACUGAGGGUCCUGGUUACAGAAGGGAUACAGGGUAACCCCUGCAGGAGUUGGAGAGGGCUGGUUCCAGCACAGGCCAUGGCUGAGGCUGGAAACCCUUCAGGGUGUGGGUGUGAUUUGAGAACAAUGACUGAGCAGUAUGAACUAAAAGAGCUGUGAUCUUGGAGCCCAAGCACACAUACAUGUAGAGGCUCUAGGGCAGCAAGAGAAUCCCGGCAGCAGUGGGGAAGUGGUGGUGGACUGUGUUGAGCCAGUUUUCAGCAACACUGGCCAACCACUCAGACUCAAGACUGACCCUUUGGAAUGAAUUAAGACCAGGGUGUUCUUGGUGUUCUUGGAUGUUUAGAAGAGGUGGGAGGUGGUUGGGGCUUUAAGAGAGAAAUUUUGGAAUCUCUACUCAUGUGAACAGCAAGGUGUUCUGGCAACUGAUAGGGGGAAAAAGAUACACCUAUUAUUUGUAUCCUGCCACACAGAAACUGGUGAGGUAGCUUACAUCAGUCAUGUACAAGUAAUAAAUAAGACUUGAUUAAACUCAACAUUAAGGACUUGUUUAAAAUCAGAAUUAAUAAUAACAGCAAGUAUUUAUUUGAUGCCUAUAUCAAACUUUUUACAUGCCUUAGCUCAUUAAUCUUCAUAAAACCGUAUGAGAUAGAGAUGAUUUUUAUCACUAUUUUACAGAUGAGGAAACUGAGGCUGGGAGAAACUAAAACACCUUUUGAAAGUCACACUGUAGACAUUGGUGGAACAUGAAUUAGCUGAUAGGGGCGCCUGAUCCUAUCCUUUUAACCAAUUCAGCAAUCUACGCCCCUGUAAAGAUGGAAAGGGAGAUGAACGCAACAUGGCAAUGACGUUGUUAGGAUUCCAACAGAUGAGUGUUUGCAGUACAACACCCAUAAAGUCUUUCUUAUGCUGCAACACUGAGAUAUUAUGCUUCCUUUGCAACCUUAAGAACCUGUGCGCUUCAUUUAUCUCUAUAGAAUUGCUAUCAAAAGGAGUUGUUUGAUACAAGUGGAAAAUAAGCAUAGGACCCAUGGCUAAGGAAUAUAAAGAUAAACCACAUAUGGAGACACAUUCUAAGUCUGUAGUUCAAAUUUCAUGACAAUGACCUUCAGAGGAGCAGUAUUUGUCCACUCAACAAAUAUUUAUUACAUGCCUUCUCUGUGCAUUGUUCCAGGUGCUUGGUGUAUCGCACUGAGCUAACCAGACAAAGAUCCCUAUCUUUGUGGAUUUUACAGUCUUGUGGGGGGAGAGAAAAUAAACAGUAAACCCAAUAGCUGAGUAGAUUAUAUAGCAUAUUAGAAAGCUUUACAUACUUGAUCACAGUUGCAGUUUUAAAUUAGGCUGGCAGGGGAGACCUCUUUGAGAAGGUCAUGUGUAUGCAAAGGCCAGAAGGAAGAGACAGUCAGUCAUGUAAAUAUCUGAAGGAAAAACAUUGGAGACAGAGGAUACACCCAAAGCUAAGGCCUGGGACAAGAGCCUGUGUGGUUGGAGGAGAUGCAAGGAGGCCCAUGAGACUGGGGCAGGGCUAGGGAGAGGGUGAGGAGUAGGAAGUAAGGUCCAAACAGUGAGGGAAGAGUGGCAGGUCCUCCAAGUAAGAUGAGGAACUGUCGUUGGGGUUUAAAGCAGAGGAGUGACAUGAUCUAACUUGCACUGAGUAUAUUAAAACUCACUGCAUUUCAUAUUGUUUUGACUUGAACAUAUUCUUUAUCAGUGAGAUCGUUGCUCGUGAGGAAAUGUCAGCGUGAUGUACAGAGAACCCCACCAGGUCUUGUGAUUGGAACGGAAGGGGAGGGAGUUGGUGGAUUUGAGUAAAAAUAGUUUUGUCAUUUAGUUCAAAGAGCCACUGGGAGGAAUAACUAAUAACAAUGGCUGUAAAGGUCACUGCAAAUAUGAAGUGCUAUCAAAUGCUAACUACCACUUAAAAAUAAAAAGCCUGUCAUUAUUCUUUGGUCCAGGGGUCAAGACCUCUAGCAACCUGCAUGCCUUGGCCAGCCCAUUAACACUUUGGUGCUUUAAAGGACUUUUCCCUUAACCUGUGAUAUCCAAUGGCUGAAUCUCCCACCUACAGCCCCAGUGGAAGGAACCAAGCUUUACCCUGUGUACUCAACAACAAAACAUAAUCGUAAGGGUAAGGGUUGAUGAACGUUUGUUAAAAUUAAAAAAAAAAAAAUCUGAAGCAGUGCUUACAAGACUCUCUGCAAAGCCUUGAAUGUUUAAAUGAAUGACAUGGGGAUAGAUGUAAAAAGCUCUUGCAAUGAGUUGUUUACACUAAUCCGUCGGGUCAUGGAAAUUUUGCUCGAGAUCUGUUUGUGUGGGAACAACACUGGAAUACUAGCUUGCCGGUGCCAGCUUUGAAACCGACACAAUGAAUAGCUAUUGUUCUGACACAAUCCGGCUGCUCAUGUCUACACACUGAAGAUGACCUUCCUCUUUAGAAAUAACUUCCAGCCAUUAUAUAGUUUUUAAAAUUGUUAUUGGUGUACCCAAUGUUCUGGAUGCCUGGGGAAGAGGAAAACUACAUAAAGACAUUUCAGACUCUCUCCUAAAAGGAUUCCACAACUUCCCUAUUUUGUUAAGUCACCCAAGUUACUGCAUUCCUGGCGUAAUGAGAAAUGGUGGAGGAGAUAUAAAAUAAAGGGAGAAGGGAAGUAAAUUAUUAAACACCUAUUAAGUACCAGGCGGUGUGUUAGGAUAUCAUUUCAUUUUACCAUCACAACCCUACCAUCCCCUAUUUUACAGAUGAGGCAAUUAAGUCUUAGAUUAAGUAACUUACUUCAAUUAUUUAGUAUGUUUUAGAGCUGGGAUUUGAACCUAAUUCUAUUGACUUCAAAUCCAUGUUCUCCUGCCACGUGGAUCUGCCCUCAAGAAGACUGUCAUCUAGUGGGUGAGGCAAGACUUACACACAGAAAUUAACUGGAGACAAACACCAGCAAUACGUAACCAAAUGCUUAAUCCACAUGGUUGAUACGCCUUAAUUCAAUUCUACAAACAAAUACAAAUGCCCACAAAGAGCAAGGCCCUAAGCAAAAUACUGGCAGGGACACUAAUAAAGUAGAGUGACUGAAGGAAGCAUGAUUUUUCUUUUUUUAAAAAUUGUGUUUGAGAGAGGGUGUGUGAGUGGGCAUGAGCAAGUGGGGGAGGGGCAGAGUGACGGAGUGAGAGAAUUCCAAGCAGUCUCCGUGCUGUCAGCACAGAGCCUGAUGAGGGGCUCAGUCCCCUGAACCCCAAGGUCAUGACCUGAGCCAAAAUCAAAUCGGACGUCCAACCAACUGAGCCACCCGGGUGCCCCUGGAAGCAAGAUUUUUCCAUCAAUGACAUACACUUCAGAUAAUCCAAGGUGACUGAUAAGAUCAGCAUGAGGUGGCAGCACCAGAAUAGCACUGCCUACCUUUGUGGCACCUGGGUCCACUCAGGUCUUUUCCCUACAGUUCCAGGGUCUGCAGGACAGCAGACUUGGGGUAGGAGGUGUCAGAGGAAAAGACAUCAAAGCAGAUGGGAAUUAGAGGUCACAAAGAGAGCUAAUAGC
rnacentral:lncRNA from 1 species